AGCAUCCUCCUCUCAAGAGAAUGAUUGGUUAUUUAACCCCACGAAAGAAACCCUCAUAUUCCACCCUGCCUGGGGCCCCUCUAUAAUAUCCCCGCUCCCCGGCCACGAUCACAAAGCAUGAAAAUCUGUGACUGAUACACCCAGCGGUAUGCUCAUUAAUCGAGAAAGAGUGUGGCUCCCAUUUGCUUCCCCGAUAAAAUUCUGAGGUGCUUUACAAAGACUUUCAAAACGCCAACCUGGAUGGAGUGAAGAAACAGAAUCAAUGAACAGUGGGCGUGUGAGGGGUUUGCAGGAUUUUGGGGGGGCCUCUUCUCUCUCUGAGGGGAGGAUGCGAUGAGGUAGGGCAGCUAGCUGCAAGCUCCUGGCAGGAAUUCAAGGGCGAUGAACGCAGACAAGGAAACAUAGAUGCAUCGAGGAGGCAGCCAAACAUCUCCAUAUGUCACUUUUCCAGUACAUUUGAGUUAAAAUGGCUGUGGAGUAUGUGGCCAAGUAGAUUAUGCUAGGGCUGCACGGGGAAGAGGGAGAUUGUUUUCUUGCAUGUGACCAAAGCCAGACGUGGACCAAUGCACGUGUGCAGACGAUGCCUGAAUCAAGCAAUGUCGAACAAAAGCCAAGCCCAAAGAUGGAGGUGGGGGCUCUCACCAGACAGAGGUGCUCCAUCAUCAGCACCGGCCACACAAAGCAAGUCUGUGGAAUGCCAGGCCAUGACCGUUGAGAAACAGUCCAGGCCAGUGAGACAGCGUGGUGGGACUCACCGCCAAGCCUGACGAUUUGUCUUCCGUCCCUGGGAUCAACAUGGUGGAGAGAGAGAGAGAGCCAACAAUACGUAAACAAAUAAGCACAAUAAAAAUCCCAAUCAAUAAAAGUGUCAU